UGGGGAAUAUUGCACAAUGGGCGCAAGCCUGAUGCAGCCAUGCCGCGUAUAUGAAGAAGGCCUUCGGGUUGUAAAGUACUUUCAGUCGGGAGGAAGGUGGUAAGGUUAAUAACCUUAUCAAUUGACGUUACCGACAGAAGAAGCACCGGCUAACUCCGUGCCAGCAGCCGCGGUAAUACGGAGGGUGCAAGCGUUAAUCGGAAUUACUGGGCGUAAAGCGCACGCAGGCGGUUGAUUGAGUCAGAUGUGAAAUCCCCGGGCUUAACCCGGGAAUUGCAUCUGAUACUGGUCAGCUAGAGUCUUGUAGAGGGGGGUAGAAUUCCAUGUGUAGCGGUGAAAUGCGUAGAGAUGUGGAGGAAUACCGGUGGCGAAGGCGGCCCCCUGGACAAAGACUGACGCUCAGGUGCGAAAGCGUGGGGAGCAAACAGG
rnacentral:rRNA from 1 species